rnacentral:rRNA from 1 species
CCUACGGGUGGCAGCAGUGGGGAAUAUUGGGCAAUGGAGGCAACUCUGACCCAGCAACGCCGCGUGAAUGAUGAAGGUCUUCGGAUUGUAAAGCUCUUUGAGGGGGGAUGAACACAAUGACUGUACCCCAAUAGCAAGCCACCGCUAACUACGUGCAAGCAGCCGCUGUAAGACGUAGGUCGCAAGCGUUAUCCGGAAUCACUGGGUGUAAAGGGUGCGUAGGUGGUUUAGUAAGUUGGGAGUGAAAUUCCGGGGCGCAACCCCGGCUGUACCGCAAAAACUAUUAGACUAGAGUGCAGGAGGGGUAAGUGGAAUUCCUAGUGUAGCGGUGGAAUGCGUAGAUAUUAGGAGGAACAUCAGGGGCGAAGGCGACUUACUGGACUGUAACUGACGCUGAGGCACGAAAGCGUGGGGAGCAAACAGGAUUAGAUACCCGUGUAGUC